UACAGAGGUCUCAAGCGUUGUUCGGAUUCAUUGGGCGUAAAGGGCGCGUAGGCGGUUCGUUAAGUCCUGUGUGAAAUCCCCCGGCUCAACUGGGGAACUGCACAGGAAACUAGCGGGCUUGAGUUCGGGAGAGGGAAGCGGAAUUCCGGGUGUAGCGGUGAAAUGGCGUAGAUAUCCGGAGGAACACCGGUGGCGAAGGCGGCUCCUGGACCGACACUGACGCUGAGGCGCGAAGCGUAGGGGAGCAAACGGG
rnacentral:rRNA from 1 species